CUUCGGCCUCUUAUAGCAGCACCUAUUGCAAGUCACGCACCUUACAUGAUGUCACGCACCUUACAUGAUGUCACACACCAGGGUCUUGCUGGGCAGGAGGGUCCCGUGGUGCCAGAUUGAGUGUUUUGCCCCAAAGCUGUCCCAGGCUGAGCCCAGGCGCUGAGGGUGCCUUUGGAGGAGGGAACAUUCCCCUCCUGUUAUCACUGCCCUUAUUGUUAUUCUUUCUUUCUGCCUGGAGACAAAAGCACCGCCAGACAUAGGGGGAACAAACAGUGCUAAUGGGGAACACGUGGCCCAGCCAGCAGCGAUGCUCACGUGAGAACACUGAUGUAGAGCAGCGAUGGGGCACAAGAAUGCG
rnacentral:lncRNA from 1 species